GACGAAGGGGGCUAGCGUUGUUCGGAAUUACUGGGCGUAAAGCGUGUGUAGGUGGUUGUCAUAGUCAGGCGUGAAAGCCUUGAGCUCAACUCAAGAAAUGCGCUUGAUACUGGGCAGCUAGAGGACCGGAGAGGAUAGUGGAAUUCCCAGUGUAGUGGUGAAAUACGUAGAGAUUGGGAAGAACACCAGUGGCGAAGGCGGCUAUCUGGACCAACAUCGACGCUGAGGCACGAAAGCGUGGG
rnacentral:rRNA from 1 species